rnacentral:rRNA from 1 species
AGAGUUUGAUCAUGGCUCAGGAUGAACGCUAGCGGCAGGCUUAAUACAUGCAAGUCGUACGGGAUCCGAGGUAGCAAUACUUUGGUGAGAGUGGCGCACGGGUGCGUAACACGUAUGCAACCUACCUUUAACCGGGACACAACCCACCGAAAGGUGAGCUAAUAUCCCAUAACACUGCGAAGUGGCAUCACUUUGCAGUUAAAACUCCGGUGGUUAUGGAUGGGCAUGCGCGACAUUAGCUAGUUGGUGAGGUAACGGCCCACCAAGGCUACGAUGUCUAGGGGUUCUGAGAGGAUUAUCCCCCACACUGGUACUGAGACACGGACCAGACUCCUACGGGAGGCAGCAGUAAGGAAUAUUGGUCAAUGGGCGCAAGCCUGAACCAGCCAUGCCGCGUGAAGGAUGACGGCCCUAUGGGUUGUAAACUUCUUUUGUACGGGAAAAAACCACCGGUCGUGUAUCGGUGCUGAUGGUACCGUAAGAAUAAGCAUCGGCUAACUCCGUG